AAGUCAGGUUCCUCUGAAACUGGGAUGCACAACCCAAAAACCUGGUCUGAAGCUAAGGUAGGACCUGCUGCCAGUGGUGUUUUGUGUUGGCUCAUGAGCAACCUGGGAGGUAGCCAUGGUCCUUUUAAACUCUGCAAGGCACAGUAACAUUCAGUGUGCAGGAAGAAUCCCAGUCACUUUGGGGUAAAUCAGUAAAGGAACUCUUUGCAGCGCUGCACUUUGGCUCUCCUCAGUCACUGUCCCGUGAGGAUCAGUUCCUGUGGUCACUGCAGCACUUUCCAUGCAUAAAACCCACAUGUGAGAAUAUCUGAACCCUCUGACACGUCCCAGUGCUUCACAAGUCUCUGUAGAACGUGGAUUCUGGGAUAACGCAGAGGAAGGAGAGUGAUGAAGGUAGCAGGGAUUGGGGCAGGGUAGGUAGAUGGGAAUGAGAAGAAUAAAGUCACAAAGAAAGCAGCAGCUCUGGGAGAAACUCCCUGUUAAAGCACAGCUUGCUGGAGAGAACUUUGGGGUCUUUUAGGGUUAACUCUCUGUGUUUUGAGAACACAAUUCUCCUAAGAUGCUUAAUGGUGAGGAGCCCUGUAAUUUUGAAUUCUCAUGGAACAUUUAUAAUACAGUCUAUAUUGUAUCGUAUCUACAGAGUAUCAUUAUAUGAAAUUUCCUUCUGACUGGAAGAAAUCUCGUGUGCUAGGAUGCCAUUACAUUAAUUUAGAAAUAUUGUACUUGCUUUUACUCAGUAGUAAAUGGAGUAGCUGUCUGAGGAUACAUUCAGUGUCUGGAUACACCAUUUGCUUGGCUAGCUCACUGAGAGAAGCAAGGACUGCAUGCCUAAAGCACAGCACAUGGAGGUGAUCUGGAAGUCACAAAUGUGCAUUCGGCCUUUCUGGGUGUAAAAAGUUAGUUAAGCCUUUAACCUCUCCAGAAAGCUCAUUGACAGGGCUGGUGUGCAUUAACACCCCAACAGGAGUUCAGCUGUCACAGCUCUAAUUUAGUCUGUUCCACAAUUUGUGAUCUGUGAAUUCAGCGAAAGUGAGUGAAUGCUUGUCAGAACAUUUAAUAGCACUUGAUUUUUAUGGAAAUUUCUUUUUUUGUGGGCUACCAUAGACCAAUUCAUUUAAAAUAUCAGAGUCCCUAACAGGUGACAGAGAUGUGAAGAGUGUGAGCAGAUGGAUUUCUGAAGGCCUAAUAAUAAGUUUUGUGGCAUUUUCACUGGUUUGUUUUGGUUCUUUAAUCAAAAAUCAGACUGCAGGAGAUGCUGCUGCUGCAGCUUUUUUUCCCCCCGAAAAGUGAAGAAUGAUGUUGUUUGGUGGAGCUUGUUUGUUGAUGCCAUCAAUUUGCUGUGCUGACAGUCCCAGAGGCAGCUGGACCAGUUUUUGUGACAGAGGAUUCACAUAUAAAUUUCUGCGACAUUAAAAUGGGGCUAUUUUUUUUUUUUUUUUUUAAUAAAAUGGGGUUUUGAAAUAGGAGGAUGUAAGCUGUCAGGUGCCAUCUGAGAUACUAACAUUGUCAUGAUGUAAUCCUGGUAGGCUUCAGACAUGGAAAAAGCUGAAAAUGGAUCUGAGAGUGGGAACAAGAGGAAGGGCACAGCAGUGCUCCCAGAGUAAUUGGUCAGAGGAGAAUGAUUGCAAAGGCAGCUCCUGAUGGGAGCCACUGCAAAGGAGGCAGAGCCCUGGAGGUGCCAGAGCCUGGGAGAGCAGGGGAGCCCUGCCCGUGCAGCACAGGGCACUGCAAACCCCCAGGAUGGGAUCACAGCCAGACAGAGCCCGCUGGGCACCGCUGGGGCUGGACACGGCCUCCUGGCAGGUUCCUCAAGGGAGAGGCAUGGACACAGAAUGCCCAAAGAGGGGAAAAGCCCCAGGGAACGGGAUCAGAUUGUUACAACAGUCAUUUUUCCUUUUGUAAACAGUAUUUAAAGCUUUCUGCUUGUAGAAUGCACUGAAUUACGUAUUUUGAAAGAAAAAAGUGAGAAAUUCUGUUUAGAAGUUUAGGCUAUAUUCAGAGAGGAAACACAUAGGGAUUUUCUCUUUUCUUAGCUUUGACUAUUUAUUUUUCAGAUUUUUUUUCCACUCAAAAUACUUUAAUCAAAAAAUUAUAUUUUUAUCCCAAGAUGAAUCUUUAAAUGCAUAAAUAUAUGUGUGAGUGUGUGUUAUUUUUAAUGUUUUUUUCUCUAACUGGUAAAUUACUGAUGUGUUGUAAUCAACAGUGACUCAGAAGAAAGGGAGACUGACUCAUGGAUCUGAUUCAAGUGUUUGCCAGCACUUUUGGAAGGAAUUUCUUUCAUACAGCCUCACUGCAAACUUACCAUUUACUUACCCAGGCUCUGUGCUCAGUUUUCCUAGGGGGUUUCAUCCCCCUGCCUGCUCUGAAAUGAGGCAGUGAGCUGCAGACACAGAAAUGGAUUCAGUGUGGUGCAGUCUGGCUGUUGAGGCAGACUCAGUCACUUGGAGAAGUGUGAGCUCGCUCUGUCCAAGGAAAGGCUGUAUCCCACACCUGAAACCAGAAGCUCUUCCAAAGGCAGCAGUGCCAAGCUCACUCUUGUGACAAACACUGGAAUGCAGCUGAAUGUCACUGGGGAGCAAGGUGUUCUGUGUCUGACCUACAUGAUGAAUGCAAAUGGUGGUUUUAGGAUCCAAAUGGGAAAGCAUAAAAGGCUACAAAAGCCUUAAUUUAUGUUUGUUCAUUUAAAGCUUCAGACCAUUAAGUGGCCAUUAAAUCACUAUUUUAUAUUCUGUUAAGUGCAUCUCUAUCAUCAGAAUAAAAAGAUUGUUUUAAUUCCCCCUGUAUCAAAUAAAACAUCUUAAUUGAGAGCCUUUGUGAUAACAAAUUGGCUGGAAUUGAAAAGUAAAUGCAUGCUGAGCUCUGACGACAGAGCAUCUUUGUGAUUUGGCUUUUAGUGUCUUGUAUGUGCAUGAACAGUUGCAUUAUACAUCUGUUUAUCUGUAUUUAGAGUUCAAUUACAAAGCUUCUACCCCAGGUAAGACUUCCAUUGCACUGAUAGGGUUCUCCAGAUUGAGGUCGGUCACACUAACUCUUCCUGUAGAGCUCAAAUUAUGAGUUUUUAACCAUUUUACCCUUAGCCUCACUGCUAAGGGCCUCCAUUACUUUGACUGUGUCCUGAAAUGGGGAAUAGACACAAGCAGAUGAGAGAAAAUUGCACAUUCUCCUCCCCUUGGAUAUUUCAAUGCUUGUUUUUAUUGCCAGAGGGACAAAAAUUUUAGCAUCUGCCUUUGGCAAAUGGAGAUUUCAAAGAACAUUGAUAUAGAGAUAUAUUUUGACAUAUUUUGUGAUGACAUUUUGAUUGCACUUAAGCACUGCACUCCUGCAAGGGAACUGGUUCCUUCUUUUCCAGUCAUGAGCCUUCCUAUCACCAGUAUUGCCUGGCCUCCAAUUUUCUCGUGGGGCUGGGAAACACCUCUCCCAGGAUGAAUAACUGGGAUGUGUGUAACUAGGUAAUGGCAUGCUCAGCUCUGCAGCAAGUUGAAGUUCUUGUGCUAAAAACAUCUGAAUUCCCAGAUGGAAAUAUUCAAAGAAAAUGCAGUUGGCAAUCAUUGUUUUUAAAACAAAAUAUAUGAUCCUGUUUAAUGUAAUAAAUGGUUCCAGUGUGGUUAAAGCAGACCCCACUACUCAGUUUUCUGAAGAAAACUUUGGCAUUAGGAAGAUCCUUUGAGAUGCCAUUUUUAGGUAAGGCUGUGUGUUAAUAGUUCAGCAAUGGGAUUCCCUGUCAGUGCAUGCACCUGGCAAGGUCACCCCUGUCCCCCAGGAAGGCUGGCUGGCUCCUGCCAUGGCUCUGUUCUCUUCAGCAGGGGGUUCCCAGCGUGGGCAGGAGAGGCUGAGGAGCAGAAGGGCUGAGGAGAGGACACCUGGAGCUCUGUGCAGCGGGAAAGGCCAGGAAAGGGCAGCCCUGGAGCCUGGCUCCCACAGCUGAUCCCAGGUUUAGAACAUCAGAUGACUCCUAGCAGAUGUGAAAUGCUUCUAGAAGCCAAACAGUCAUUCUGUUCAUGCCCUUUGGACCACUCUCUUGAUGAAAUGGCCCCCAGGACCUGUCCCAGCUCUCCCUGGCUACUUCUGCACCAGCAAACUCCAGAGGCCCCUGAGCCCAGAGAUGUGGAGUGCAGCCAGCUCUUUGUAAGAAUAACUAAAAGAAGGCAGAUAACAAACACUGCCAGUUCCCCUCACUGUCAUCAACAGUGAAGUACUUUGCUGAAGCAAAAUGUUAAGAAGCUGAGACUGGACAUUUGAAUACUUAAAAGUUACUGAAUUUUCUGCCCAACUGGAUGUGGGAAAAGAUGCAGAAGAUAAUGCUCAUGUCUUACUUGUUCUCAAGAGCUCAAUAAGAGAUGAAAAAACUCCAGAAAUACAAAUCUAAAAUGGGUGGAGAGGUUCAGUGCCCAGCUCUGCAGUACUGCCUUGGAGGUGCCUCCUUCUGGCUUUUGUGCCUUGUUUCAUGGGGAGCCUCUCAACAGAGUGGAUUUAACGUGAAACUAAUCCAUCUGUGGAAAGAGAAAAGCCCUCUUGUCACCUGGGAUGUGGAGAAUGAGAGGUGCCUCACUGCAGGGAGGAAGGAAGGAAGGACACCCAGGAUGAAGAGGCAGGAGGUGCCUGUGCAGGUGGGAUUGUUCCCAAAGAGAUUUGGCUGUUCCUGAGGCUGCAGCUGAAGGAGGCACUGCCCUUCUCCAGCCCCCGAAGAGCAUCUGGAGGAGUGGAGAGCUUCACCUGUGCUGGCAUGUUGAAAACCCUGAGAGGCUCCAGCUGCAUUUGCCUUCUGCAGAGUGCUGCUGGGAGUGUAGGACAUCGUACAUCAGUGCCCCAGCACUGAGCCAGGAGCAGUGAGGAGGUGCCUGGAGCACUCUUGGUGCUGUGGGGCAGGGACACAGGAGGGGCUCUCUCAUUCCCAAGGGAAGCUCCCUCAGAAUGGUGAGGCUGCCGAGUGGCAUUCUACAUGGAGCUGGCAGCUUUGUGGCUCACUUUGGGGCUCUCAGCUCUCCACAGACCCAUCACUUCUUCUGUGCUGAGGCUCCUGGUUCGGGCAGCACUCGGUGCCUGACGGCUGCAGCCCAGGACGUCCCCUCCUACCUCGGGAAAAUAUUCCACAGCAAGAAAAUAAAUUGCUUCCUUGAAUUCCAGUUCAAAUUAAUGGAAGUCUGGGGGGGAAGAAACAGACAAACAAACGAAGACCUGCCAAAGGAAAGCCUUGCACCUGUCAGUAACUUGUGAAAAGCGAUUCCUCAUUUCUGAGAUCCCUGCCAGGAAUGGGAGAUUUAGCAAGAGUUUCCAAGUUCCUCAGACAAUUGGAAAUGCCCCAGGUCCCUUCUGCAGCCGAUGUCCUCCUGAGGAUGAUGUGUCACCACGUGAAGAUUGAUCUCAGGAAGGACAAAUCAAUUCUGAAACCCAUCGGAGAGGGAAAUGUUUCGAUACGAGCGUGCUCUGCGGGGUCCAGCCAUGGUCGGACAGGAGGAGUCUCCUCCUCCUCCUCCUCCUCCCACAUUCUUUGUCUUUGCUCUGACACAAACCUGGCCCUGUCUCCCCAUCUCUGGGAGUUGGGCACCCACAUUCUUUCGUGGGAAAAAGGAGAGGAAUAUCUGGCUCCCAGUACCUCCACAGAAGAGUUUGAGUCAUUUACAUGAGGAAUUCAGCGAGCAGAGAUCUUCACUUUGAUCAGAUCUGUCUUUUCAGGAACAAGCUGCCACUCUGGGCACCAAAACAGAUCAUCACAGGAACUACAACAAAGAGCAGUGUUCUGCCAAAGCUGCAGGCAGGAGUCUGUCAGGGAGAAUGAUGGAGCAAGAAGAGCGGAGUUCUAACAGACAAAGGGGGAAGGAAGGAAGGGAGAAAAGUGUCAGAAACUGGAAAAGACUUCAAGGGACACAACACUGCCUAAUGGGGCAGAAACUGAGAGACAAGUGAGCUGCAGUACAGGGUGAUUUGCAUUCCUCCAAGAUGAUUUGUAAAAGGGGAAAAGUUGUAGAUGAAAUGCUUUGAUUCGCCUUUCUCUCACUCUGCCCGUGCACUUGUGUCAUUCAUUUUGUGUAGUAACCUCUACUAAACAGUCAGAGGUUGCAGCAUCAUUUUGGUGCCCUGAAAUUAAGGCAAAAAGCUGCAGUUCUGGAAUUUGGAGCUCAUAGUACCUAACUGGCUGAAGGGAAAAAUAAAGAAGUAAAGAUCAAUG
rnacentral:lncRNA from 1 species